GCACAGUGAGAAGAGAAAAAGAAGUGGGGAAAAAUUUAGCGAAACUCAACUUAUCAUCGACGACUCGGUUCGUUAUUCCGGUUCAUUGGUUUUUCGAUAUCGGCGAAAAUGAACAAGGUUCCCAUCUCGCAACGCGUUUCGUUGCGGGUGAAAUUCUCGUUGAUUUUUAGUAAAUUUUUUUUUUAUUUUCAACUCGAACCGCGCGUGGGAAACGAAAUUUGACGAGGGGCGGGGGGGCGGGGAGCGUACGAGUUUCUGCUGCAGACCCCGGUAGUUGAUAUUCCGCCGGCACGCCGCCGACUGAUGUUUGUAAUUUCUGGUAUUCCAUGUGUUUCGCGAAGUAGUUGCGCCGGUACACUCGCCGACACGAUUUUUUCGCGCUGUAUUCAUUCCCGUAUAAAAUACGCGCCACCGACACACGCACGACGCUCCCUCAGAGUUGAGUGACGAGGAUCAUCAAUCCGAGGGCGUUCGAUUGGACCGUUAUUUUCGCAUCAGCAGCAGCUUUUGGGCUAUUCGGUUACGAGAUCACCGAGGCGAUAAGGUGUCCUGCACGUGUUGAUGAAAAGGGUUGUGCAUGUGGGUGUGGUGGAAAGGUUCGCCCCAGCAACGUAGUGAAUUCAGGGUUAUUCCGGACGCUUCGAAAGACGAGAGAAUUGUUUCCGCC